UACGUAGGGUGCAAGCGUUGUCCGGAAUUAUUGGGCGUAAAGAGCUCGUAGGCGGUUUGUCGCGUCGAAUGUGAAAACCCGGGGCUCAACCCCGGGCCUGCAUUCGAUACGGGCAGACUAGAGUUCGGUAGGGGAGUCUGGAAUUCCUGGUGUAGCGGUGAAAUGCGCAGAUAUCAGGAGGAACACCGGUGGCGAAGGCGGGACUCUGGGCCGACACUGACGCUGAGGAGCGAAAGCCAGGGGAGCAAACGGG
rnacentral:rRNA from 1 species